rnacentral:lncRNA from 1 species
AUUAUGCAAUUCAUGUAGGGAACUUGUGGGGAAUGCUUUGGGUUGUUGUAUGCAAUCAUCCAAUUCAAUUAAAUUAGGAAAAUCUAAGGAUUAAUUAGUGCAAUUCACAGUUAAUCUGGGGCGUUGAGAAUUCAUAGUUUAUUGAAAAGCAACUGGAAAUUGUUUUGUUUGCAAGUGUGUCAUGUGUGGAGAAGAACCUCCUAGCUAGCCUUCCAUCCAUUCAAUUUACUCAAAUUCGUACAGAUUUCAUUAGUUCAUUAAUUUACUUGUUUUGUCUUCAAAUUCAUCAAAACCAAAACCCUCUUUACCUUGUUGAGUCAUAUUAGUUAGAAACUAAUUUAGUUUGUGUUUUUAAGUAUUUCGAACCAAGUUGAAACCAAA